rnacentral:rRNA from 1 species
GAUGAACGCUAGCGGCAGGCUUAAUACAUGCAAGUCGUGGGGCAGCAUGAAGUAGCAAUACUUUGAUGGCGACCGGCAAACGGGUGCGGAACACGUACACAACCUUCCUUUUAGUGGGGAAUAGCCCAGAGAAAUUUGGAUUAAUACCCCGUAACAUAGCGAUGUGGCAUCACAUUGCUAUUAUAGCUUCGGCGCUAGAUGAUGGGUGUGCGUAUGAUUAGAUAGUUGGCGAGGUAACGGCUCACCAAGUCUACGAUCAUUAGCUGAUGUGAGAGCAUGAUCAGCCACACGGGCACUGAGACACGGGCCCGACUCCUACGGGAGGCAGCAGUAAGGAAUAUUGGUCAAUGGACGAAAGUCUGAACCAGCCAUGCCGCGUGAAGGAUUAAGGUCCUCUGGAUUGUAAACUUCUUUUAUAUGGGACGAAAAAAGGUCUUUCUAGAUCACUUGACGGUACCAUAUGAAUAAGCACCGGCUAACUCCGUGCCAGCAGCCGCCGUAAAAC